GAUCCCUAGCUGGUCUGAGAGGAUGACCAGCCACACUGGAACUGAGACACGGUCCAGACUCCUACGGGAGGCAGCAGUGGGGAAUAUUGCACAAUGGGCGCAAGCCUGAUGCAGCCAUGCCGCGUGUAUGAAGAAGGCCUUCGGGUUGUAAAGUACUUUCAGCGGGGAGGAAGGGAGUAAAGUUAAUACCUUUGCUCAUUGACGUUACCCGCAGAAGAAGCACCGGCUAACUCCGUGCCAGCAGCCGCGGUAAUACGGAGGGUGCAAGCGUUAAUCGGAAUUACUGGGCGUAAAGCGCACGCAGGCGGUUUGUUAAGUCAGAUGUGAAAUCCCCGGGCUCAACCUGGGAACUGCAUCUGAUACUGGCAAGCUUGAGUCUCGUAGAGGGGGGUAGAAUUCCAGGUGUAGCGGUGAAAUGCGUAGAGAUCUGGAGGAAUACCGGUGGCGAAGGCGGCCCCCUGGACGAAGACUGACGCUCAGGUGCGAAAGCGUGGGGAGCAAACAGGAUU
rnacentral:rRNA from 1 species